rnacentral:rRNA from 1 species
UACAGAGGGUGCGAGCGUUGUCCGGAAUCACUGGGCGUAAAGGGCGCGUAGGCGGCCUGAUAAGUCGGGGGUGAAAUCCUGUGGCUUAACCACAGGGCUGCCUCCGAGACUGUCGGGCUCGAGCACAGUAGAGGCAGGUGGAAUUCCCGGUGUAGCGGUGGAAUGCGUAGAUAUCAGGAGGAACACCAAUUGCGAAGGCAGCUCGCUGGGACGUUACUGACGCUGAGACGCGAAAGCGUGGGGAGCAAACAGG